AUUUAUUAUAAUAAUCAACAUUAUUUGGUCCAGGGUUAGUCGGUCCUAAGAGAUAGGGAAGUUCCGUUAUUUCAAAGUGGCCAAUUUUUUCUGCCCGCCUAUCGAAAGGGAAACAGUUUAAUAUUACUGUACUGGGACGAGGAUUUUCUGCGGCAACGCAAUUGAAGUUGGAGACAUCAGUGUGGGGUAGACCUUGAAAUCUGUUAAGCAGGAGAAAAGGUUUACUGACUGGUAGAGCAUAGUACUUUUUGCUAUGUCUGGUGCAUUCACAACGAUCCAUGAAAAUCCAACGGAAAGAAUAAUUUUCUCGCCUAGUCGUACUCAUAACCACAGCAGGUCUUCAAGGUGAAAAGAAAGCCUCUAGU
rnacentral:ncRNA from 1 species